AGUGGAUGGGGAACAACCUAGUUGUGCGUGUGUAAAGGUAGUGCCAAGAAAAGCGGUGAUCAUGAUGAAAAUCAAUUCCCGGUACCCGAAACCGACACAGGUGGGCAAGUAGAGAAUACUAAGGGGCGCGAGGUAACUCUCUCCAAGGAACUCGGCAAAAUGACCCCGUAACUUAGGGAGAAGGGGUGCCACCGAGAGGUGGUCGCAGUGAAGAGGCUCAGGCGACUGUUUAGCAAAAACAUAGGUCUCUGCAAACUCGAAAGAGGAGGUAUAGGGGCUGACGCCUGCCCAGUGCCGGAAGGUUAAAGAAGUUGGUCAGUCAUAGGAUGAAGCUAGCGACUGAAGCCCCGGUGAACGGCGGCCGUAACUAUAACGGUCCUAAGGUAGCGAAAUUCCUUGUCGGGUAAGUUCCGACCCGCACGAAAGGCGUAACGAUCUGGGCGCUGUCUCGGAGAGAGGCUCGGCGAAAUAGGAUUGUCUGUGAAGAUACGGACUACCUGCAUUUGGACAGAAAGACCCUAUGAAGCUUACUAUAGCUUGGAAUUGUGUUCGGGCUUCCUGUGCGCAGGAUAGGUGGGAGGCGUAGAAGGUACUCUUGUGGGGAUACUGGAGCCAACGGUGAGAUACCACUCUCAGGAGGCUAGAAUUCUAACUUAAUUAAGGACAGUUUCAGGUGGGUAGUUUGACUGGGGCGGUCGCCUCCAAAAAGGUAACGGAGGCGUACAAAGGUUCCCUCAGACUGGUUGGAAAUCAGUCGCAGAGUGCAAAGGCAGAAGGGAGCUUGACUGCGAGAAGUACAGUUCGAGCAGGGUGGAAACACGGUCUUAGUGAUCCGACGGUGCUGUGUGGAAGGGCCGUCGCUCAACGGAUAAAAGUUACUCUAGGAUAACAGGCUGAUCUCCCCCAAGAGUUCACAUCGACGGGGAGGUUGGCACCUCGAUGUCGGCUCAUCGCAACCUGGGGCGGAAGUACGUCCCAAGGGUUGGGCUGUUCGCCCAUUAAAGCGGUACGUGAGCUGGGUUCAGAACGUCGUGAGACAGUUCGGUCCAUAUCCGAUGUAGGCGUGAGAAUAUUGAGAGGAGCCUUCCUUAGUACGAGAGGACCGGGAAGGACGCACCGCUGGUGUACCUGUUAUGAUGCCAAUUGUAAACGCAGGGUAGCCAAGUGCGGAGAGGAUAACCGCUGAAAGCAUCUAAGUGGGAAGCCCACCUCAAGAUGAGUAUUCUGGUGUAAGGUCACGGGAAGACGACCCGUAAAUAGGCACGAGGUGGAAGUGCAGAGAUGUAUGAAGCCGAAGUGUACUAAUAGACCGUCGGCUUGAU
rnacentral:rRNA from 1 species